ACGGAAGGCAGCAGUGAGGAAUAUUGGUCAAUGGUCGGAAGACUGAACCAGCCAAGUCGCGUGCAGGAAGACGGUCCUAUGGAUUGUAAACUGCUUUUGUACGGGAAUAAAGUGCGGGACGUGUCCCGCUUUGCAUGUACCGUUCGAAUAAGCAUCGGCUAAUUCCGUGCCAGCAGCCGCGGUAAUACGGAAGAUGCGAGCGUUAUCCGGAUUUAUUGGGUUUAAAGGGAGCGUAGGCGGUCCUUUAAGUCAGCGGUCAAAUGUCAGCGCCCAACGCUGGCCUGCCGUUGAUACUGGAGGACUUGAAUACACACAAGGAAGGUGGAAUUCGUCGUGUAGCGGUGAAAUGCUUAGAUAUGACGAAGAACUCCGAUUGCGAAGGCAGCCUUCUGGAGUGCGAUUGACGCUGAGGCUCGAAAGCGCGGGUAUCAAACAGGAUUAGAUACCCUGGUA
rnacentral:rRNA from 1 species